rnacentral:rRNA from 1 species
GACGAACGCUGGCGGCGUGCCUAAUACAUGCAAGUAGAACGCUGAAGCUUGGUGCUUGCACCGAGCGGAUGAGUUGCGAACGGGUGAGUAACGCGUAGGUAACCUGCCUGGUAGCGGGGGAUAACUAUUGGAAACGAUAGCUAAUACCGCAUAACAGUAGAUGUUGCAUGACAUUUGCUUAAAAGGUGCAAUUGCAUCACUACCAGAUGGACCUGCGUUGUAUUAGCUAGUUGGUGGGGUAACGGCUCACCAAGGCGACGAUACAUAGCCGACCUGAGAGGGUGAUCGGCCACACUGGGACUGAGACACGGCCCAGACUCCUACGGGAGGCAGCAGUAGGGAAUCUUCGGCAAUGGACGGAAGUCUGACCGAGCAACGCCGCGUGAGUGAAGAAGGUUUUCGGAUCGUAAAGCUCUGUUGUAAGAGAAGAACGAGUGUGAGAGUGGAAAGUUCACACUGUGACGGUAUCUUACCAGAAAGGGACGGCUAACUACGUGCCAGCAGCCGCGGUAAUACGUAGGUCCCGAGCGUUGUCCGGAUUUAUUGGGCGUAAAGCGAGCGCAGGCGGUUAGAUAAGUCUGAAGUUAAAGGCUGUGGCUUAACCAUAGUACGCUUUGGAAACUGUUUAACUUGAGUGCAAGAGGGGAGAGUGGAAUUCCACGUGUAGCGGUGAAAUGCGUAGAUAUAUGGAGGAACACCGGUGGCGAAAGCGGCUCUCUGGCUUGUAACUGACGCUGAGGCCCGAAAGCGUGGGGAGCAAACAGG